rnacentral:rRNA from 1 species
GAUGAACGCUAGCGGCAGGCUUAACACAUGCAAGUCGAGGGGCAGCACGUCUUCGGAUGGUGGCGACCGGCGCACGGGUGCGUAACGCGUAUACAACCUACCAUAUAGAGGGGAAUAGCCCAGAGAAAUUUGGAUUAAUGCCCCAUAGUAUUAUUGAAUAGCAUUAUUUGAUGAUUAAACAUUUAUGGCUAUAAGAUGGGUAUGCGUUCUAUUAGCUAGAUGGUAAGGUAACGGCUUACCAUGGCAACGAUAGAUAGGGGUCCUGAGAGGGAGAUCCCCCACACUGGUACUGAGACACGGACCAGACUCCUACGGGAGGCAGCAGUGAGGAAUAUUGGACAAUGGGCGAGAGCCUGAUCCAGCCAUGCCGCGUGCAGGAAGACGGCCCUAUGGGUUGUAAACUGCUUUUAUACGGGAAGAAACACUCCUUCGUGAAGGAGCUUGACGGUACCGUAAGAAUAAGGAUCGGCUAACUCCGUGCCAGCAGCCG